UACAGAGACCUCAAGCGUUAUCCGGAAUCAUUGGGCGUAAAGCGUACCGAUAGGUGGUUUAGAAAGUUUUGGGUAAAAGCCAGAAGCUCAACUUCUGAGUUUGCUCAAAAUACUUCUCAACUAGAGGGGCAAAGAGGUCCUUGGAACGAACGGUGUAGUAGUGAAAUGCGUUGAUAACGUUCGGAACACCGAAAGCGAAGGCAGAGGACUGGGUGCCACCUGACACUACUAGGACGAAAGCGUGGGGAGCGAAUGGG
rnacentral:rRNA from 1 species